rnacentral:lncRNA from 1 species
AACGUAGAAAAGGAAGUUAGGUUUUAAGAAAAAGUACUGAAACUAAAGACUUCCUCCCUGUGGAGCAGGUCAGUAACCCUGUCUGUCCUCUCUAGUACCCGAAUAGGCUUCGCCCCCUCGUCCUGGAUCGACGAUUAUUUCGACUGGGUGAAGCCACAGUCGUCUUGCUGUCGAGUGGACAAUAUCACUGACCAGUUCUGCAAUGCUUCAGGUACCUUCUCCUUUACCAAAUCUUUCCUGUUUUGCUGAAAAAUUUUCAAAUUAUCAUUUAAAAAUCAUUUGCAUCGUGCCUCAGUUUAUACCUAUUUGUAUAUCAAAGCUGGGU